GACGAACGCUGGCGGCGUGCUUAACACAUGCAAGUCGAACGAAGAGCGAUGGAAGCUUGCUUCUAUCAAUCUUAGUGGCGAACGGGUGAGUAACGCGUAAUCAACCUGCCCUUCAGAGGGGGACAACAGUUGGAAACGACUGCUAAUACCGCAUACGAUCUAAUCUCGGCAUCGAGGAUAGAUGAAAGGUGGCCUCUACAUGUAAGCUAUCACUGAAGGAGGGGAUUGCGUCUGAUUAGCUAGUUGGAGGGGUAACGGCCCACCAAGGCGAUGAUCAGUAGCCGGGCUGAGAGGAUGGACGGCCACAUUGGGACUGAGACACGGCCCAGACUCCUACGGGAGGCAGCAGUGGGGAAUCUUCCGCAAUGGACGAAAGUCUGACGGAGCAACGCCGCGUGAGUGAUGACGGCCUUCGGGUUGUAAAGCUCUGUUAAUCGGGACGAAAGGCCUUCUUGCGAAUAGUGAGAAGGAUUGACGGUACCGGAAUAGAAAGCCACGGCUAACUACGUG
rnacentral:rRNA from 1 species